CGGCCCGGAGCGGUCUGUCCACCUCACGCCGUGGCCGUCGCGCGCGUGUCGCCUGAAGCGAAUCCCGCCCGCGGGCACGCGGCAGAUAUUUGAGAAACGGUGUUGUGGGAUGUGAAUCACACAGCCACGGGCAAGCAUCAGAAUGAAAGGACUCAAAUGAGCAGAAAGUGCCAGGGCAGUAAUUGCAAGGAGCUGAAAUGUACAAGUAAUGAAGAUAACAAAGGAAUCAGUACGUGGAACAUUGAAGUGACUUUGGAACACUGAUCAGCAACUAUGACAUCUGGAAAGGAAACAGAUUGAUGUUUCUACUGUAUUACUAUGAACUGUUAAAACGCUUAAGCUGAACUUAAGAUCAACUACUUUGCUGAGCAACAGGGUUAAAAAUAAAAUGGUUUGCUAUACUAAUCCAUCUUUAGAUUCUCUUAAAAAAUAAACUUAAUUAUCCUUUUAGGUGUAACAUCUCAGGUAUAGAAGGCUGCUGGUUUAUUUCUCUUAUACAAACAAUAACAUUUAAUGAAUAUAUUUGAAUAAGGUUUUUCCUCUGCAAUCCUCAUUCAACAUUUUCAUAAAAAACACAUUCAUGUAUUUUUAAAUGAAGAGCUUACUAAUGAGUUUAAUCACUUGGACAAUUAUCAGUUUAAUUGUUCAGUUUAACAGUUUAGUCCUUCAAACAUUUAGAGCUGCCUCAGUAGCAGUGCUAGCAUUACUACCUUAGUAUUCUGUGUUCUCAGAACAACAGUGGCUAUUUAUAUAGAUAUACCUGAAAAGAUGGAAACUGACACUUGAAACUGGAAUAUUUCAGGUUCUGUUACAUCAACAGCAUUAGAUGGAAAACAAGAAGGCAUUUACUUAAAAUCUUAAGCAAUUUCUUCACUUUCAGAUACACUGUAGAAAUCUGUUGAAAUAAACCACAGUAUGUAAACUCCAAGUCUCCACCCCUAUGUUGUACUAGCUUGAUAAGAAUAGGUCCAACUACCACUGUUGAGUUUUAAUACCUUAUUUAUUUUCAGCUUCUGUUGAGCUUCCAUUACCAUUUCUUGGCUGAAGCCUUGCAUUAACUUUCCUGGGGAAAAGCAAAGCAAGUCUUGACAGAGCUUUACAAGAACAAAGUCUCUUAGCUUUAUGUAGUUUUCAGAUGGAUCUUCAGCUAGAAAAAAAAUUAUAAGAGCACAUAGUUAAUAUAAGAAUUAUUUGUUUCUUCAUUUCUGGUAUGCAAUUACAAAAGCUGUGGAAGACGAGACCAGAUGCAACAUUCAUCAUGUAUAAAUAGCUGUGCUUAAUCAUAAGUACUGCUAUCAAAGUUUUAAAUGUAUGACAAUGUAAGUUAAAUUGUACUGUGUACAGUAUUAUACACAUUUCCAAGAGACUGACAAAACAAGUUGAAUACAGUUCAAAACAUAAACCCUUUUUUCUUGUAUGUUCCCUCUAUUCUAUAGCAGAUCAGAGCAUCAUAAUUAUUGUAAGACAAACUAUGUGGAUAAAGACUGAAAUAAAAGCUGAAGGUAAUUUGAAGUUACUUCCAUCUUGCUUGAAACAGCAGCAUUGCUAUCAAAACUGCAGCUUUAUUAAAAAAACCAAAACAACAAAAUCAAGAACUAGCUUCAGUGAUCAUCAACAUAGUCCUAUUUGCAAUUUUGUUCCCACCUGUGAACUACAGAGAAGGAAAUGUUACAAUGCUGCAAAUAGAUUUAAUCACCACUUUAUAGUUUGGACAGGUUUACUAUAAGUGAGGAGCAGGGUCAUGCUCUACCCUACCUUUAUUUUUCUGUUCAAUUUAUUGUUGAACAGCCUAUAUUCCAGCUGUGCUUUUUCAUUCAUUUUCUCCCCCUUUUCCUCAAGAUGAGGACUAUUUUAUGUAGUUGACAUUUGCGGUUUAAGAAUGAUCAAAAGCUAGUAUGUUACAAAGAGAAAGGAGUAGCAUAUAACUUUUGGUCCUAGUAUAUGCAGCACUGCACAACCAGCAAUUUGUUCUUUGGGUCGCAGACUGCCUAGGACUGCAUCAGUAAAAAAGAUUUGCACAUGAGUGUAAUAAUCUUGUGUGGCAAAACUUACAGCACUUAUUCUGCAAAAGAGAUUGAAGAGACUGUACUGAGAUUCAUUUAUUCUGCUCCUUUUCAUUCAAAUUAGUUACAAGAAAGAUGAGGCAGUUUCUGUAUGGUAAGCAUUACCAACAUACAUUUCACUUGUGUCAACUAGGAUUAUGAGUUGGUAGUUGGGACAAAGUAUCCAUUGCAAAUGAUAAAGUCUGAAAUACUUUAUUUUUUUAGGCAUUAGUUUCUUUAAGGAAGUUGAAAUUCUAAUCAUUCUGAAGAGAGGAAAGGCUUUACUUAACAACCUUAGCGGAUAUGUAAGUAUGAAUUUGGUCCAUUAUCAAGAUUGCCAAGCCUGACUUUCUAUCAGAAUGACAAUAAAUUAUCUUGCAGAAGUGUAAGAUUACAUAACUUCAGUGCCAUGUAGAAUAUUGCAAGCUUCCUCCUGCUUUAAUCCAAAAAGAGUUACUUUAGUGCAAAUUUGCUGUUUGCUACAGAUUUGCAUUAAAGGCACUGAGCCAUGAAUGUGUCAUAUGAUUUACGUAGUACUAUAUUUAAGACUGUUUAUUCUCAGUUAUAAAAGCUAUGUAAAGCUUUGUAGUAUUAGUGGAAAAAAAGGAUAAAAAAAAAUAAUCACACAAUGAAUAAGACUUCCUACUGCAUAAAGGAAGUUAUGCUUCUUUAGGUUUCUAUGAAUUGGAUUAAAAUUACAAGGUAGAUUACCCUGCGUUAGGAUUAUCCUGCAGUGAUACUAUGAAGAAAGCAAGUGUUGUAAUGCAUUUUAAUUAGUUUUUUGGAGGGUAGAGGAAUAGAACGUCUUUCUCUUCUUUUUGAGAUGAGGUCUUAGAAGACCUUAGAUUAGUCAAUUUAUAUUUUUAAACUGUACUUCUUCCUAUAUUGGACUUUAAACUACAGGACAGAUGUCAUGAUUCUAACCAUUUUAAUGCUAUAUUUUUAAGAUGUGUGUACCCUCUUCCCCCCCCAUUCUUCCAUUAAAUUUUCACUUUCAUGUAUUUAUUGGCUCAUCUCUAACAUGAGGGGUGCAUUCAGUCAGUAGUGCAUGCUCAUGGAGCACAACUCCUGUGCAGAUUUUUGUCUGUUGACUUUUGGCUUACAUACGUGUUAAAACACUAUUUCAGAUUUUUCUCAGUUUUGAGUUUUGGCUAAUAGGAACUAGUUGAACAAGGAAUCUGACAAAGCUUGAUCUCCUGGCAAACUCAGCUGUAUAUCUCACAAUAAAAUGGCUAAUUAGCUGGUAAUCCAUGCAUGCUAGGGAUUGAAUUUUCCUGGUGUGCUGUUCUCUAAGUAGAGGAUUUAAGGAGCUACAUUAUAUACAGUUCUUCUGUAAAAUAGGGCACUGUUAAUCCUGAACUGAGCUGAAGCUAAACCUUCAAAAGGCCAUUUAAUUCUAACAAGUGAACAUGAAAGCUGGCUUGUGGGCUAGCAGUGUCUGAAUGGGACCAAACAGGUGAAAUGAGUUAGAAAUUUAACGUAUACCUGUUAUAUCAAGUACUGUAGGAGAAGACAUAUAGUAUCUAUGAACUGUUUCGAGAAGCUGAGCACCAUGGCCUUCUCCUUGGAAUGGUGGCAAGAUCAGCAUCUGGCUACAGACAAAGGAAUGUAUUGAUAUUUCAGUUCAAAUGCAUGCUUUUGCAAACAUUGCAGUGUAAAGGCAUAAAAACUAAGUUUUUCUUAAAACACAUGCAUCAGUCUUAAUGUUAAAACAUAAUUCUUACAGAAUCUUAGAACUGCUAAAUAUUCAAAACUUGUGUGCAAUUCCCUCUGCUUCAAGAAGGGAACAAUGAAAUAAAUCAGUGCGUAGCCAACUAAUAAUGGGGAUUUUUUUAAAACAAAUCAACACCAUUAUAAACAAGUAUUGGGAACUUCAGCAGUUCCCUCUUCUGAAAUAAAAGGCAAGGCACGAGUUACACCGCCAAUUACCUUACACGUGGCCGGGUUUUGUCUGGGUACACAUAGUAAUUAUAGACUGUCAUGUAGCCCACGGUCGCAAAGAGCGUAGCUCCAUCCUUAUUAUACUUCUCAAAUCUGCAGAUAAAACAGAAAGCCAAGCAGGUCAAUUACAGUCGCGCUCCCAUGCAGUGUCCAUUUUCUUUUCCAUUCUCCAACUGAAUUUUCAGUGUCAGCAAGCUACUCUGUGAGGGCCCAAUGGGUACACCUGCUAUGUUCUGAAUGUACAAUUCACUUAAUUGGUGUGCAGCAACUUGGAUAAAUCAGACCUCUUUACAGCACUUCAGUGCACUUGCCUAUUAUAAAGAUGAAUAGGUGGCAAGUAAAAGAAAACACAGGCAAAGCUCAUUUUACUGUUUAAGCCUACAUUCAGGGCUCUAACGGACAACAGCAUUUAAUUCAGCUCUAUUCUCAAGGUUCCCCAAAGUAUAAUGGAGGAAAACUCAAGCCUGAUAAACAAUGGUUUUUCUUUCCUGGGAAAAAUAUCAUUAUACUGCCCCAAUAAUUGGCCAGCCACAAUUAAAAUGCAGGCUUUGUGGAGGUAAUAAGGUCCACUGUUGCUUUAGAACUGUACUUACACUAUAAAGUAGUUCCAUCUUUCAUCAUCUACAUCAAUAAAGCUAGCAGUUUCAAUAAACCACAUCAAGAAUGUCUGAAGCCUUUCAUGAUAUUCUCGAAAGCCUGGACACGUCAUGUCAGCCUAGGGAAAAAGCCAGGAGAAGUCAGGUGAAACCUAUCACAGAUGCAAAAGGAAAAAAAAAAACCUGCAAAACCUAAUUACUUCCCCCCAUACAAAAAAAAAAAAAAAAGCAUGCUUCUAACCAAUAAGUUGGUCAAAUGAUAAUAUUUAUAUAUGUAUAUGUAAAUAUAUAUAUAUAUAUAU